rnacentral:ncRNA from 1 species
UUCUUCGGGGCAGGGUGUGAUUCCCUACCGGCGGUACAGCCCGCGAGCCAUAUGGCAUGAUUCGGUGUAAUUCCGAAGCCGACAGUAUAGUCUGGAUGAAAGAAGAG